AGGGACUCCUGAAGAUAUUGAUUUCACAAUUAACCCUCAGAGAAGGAGUCUCUUUACCGCCUCUUUCCUGGAGACUAGACUUAUUGUUGAUUGCAUCACUUACAGAAAUCCUGUCAAAGUGAGGAAGGCUCCUUCCAUCCCCCAGAACUGGAACAGUAUGCUUGUCUAAAUGGAAGGUGUGAUUGAUGACCUCCUGACUCGCCACAGAUUCCAGGGAAUCAUUCCACUCCUGAGCAGAUUCACCCGAAAUAUGAAAGAAGCAGGAGAUACAACCUACAACAAGGAGAAAAACAAACAAGUUGAGACAGGGCCAUAAAUUAAAGAGGAUAGAAUUACCAGACAAGGUGGCCCUAGCGGUGAAGGACUCACCUGCCAGUGUAGGAGACAAAAGAGACACAGCAAGAUCCCCUGGAGGAGGAAAUAGUGACCCACUCCAGUGUUCUUGCCUGGAGAAUGUUAUGGACAGAUAUAAUAAAGACCCAAAAUUGAACUCUGUAAAGUUCAAAAAUACAAUAUGUGAAAUGAUUUCAUUUGAUUAAUAGCAAAUUAGACACUGCAGAAUAAAGGAUCCAUAAACUUAGAAACAUAACAAUG
rnacentral:lncRNA from 1 species